AGAUUGAACGCUGGCGGCAGGCCUAACACAUGCAAGUCGAGCGGCAGCACGGGUACUUGUACCUGGUGGCGAGCGGCGGACGGGUGAGUAAUGCCUAGGAAUCUGCCUGGUAGUGGGGGAUAACGCUCGGAAACGGACGCUAAUACCGCAUACGUCCUACGGGAGAAAGCAGGGGACCUUCGGGCCUUGCGCUAUCAGAUGAGCCUAGGUCGGAUUAGCUAGUUGGUGAGGUAAUGGCUCACCAAGGCGACGAUCCGUAACUGGUCUGAGAGGAUGAUCAGUCACACUGGAACUGAGACACGGUCCAGACUCUACGGGAGCAGCAGUGGGGAAUAUUGGACAAUGGG
rnacentral:rRNA from 1 species